rnacentral:rRNA from 1 species
UGAUGCCUACGGGGCGCAGCAGUGGGGAAUAUUGGACAAUGGGGGAAACCCUUAUCCAGCGACGCCGCGUGAGGGAAGAAGGUUUUCGGAUUGUAAACCUCUGUCAGUGGGGACGAUAAUGACGGUACCCACGGAGGAAGCCACGGCUAACUACGUGCCAGCAGCCGCGGUAAUACGUAGGUGGCAAGCGUUGUCCGGAAUUACUGGGUGUAAUGGUAGCGUAGGCGGGAUGUCAAGUCAGAAGUGAAAUUUAUGGGCUCAACUCAUAACCUGCUUUUGAAACUGUUAUUCUUGAUUGUAUUAUA